rnacentral:rRNA from 1 species
AGUGAACGCUGGCGGUAGGCCUAACACAUGCAAGUCGAACGGCAGCACAGUAAGAGCUUGCUCUUACGGGUGGCGAGUGGCGGACGGGUGAGGAAUACAUCGGAAUCUACUUUUUCGUGGGGGAUAACGUAGGGAAACUUACGCUAAUACCGCAUACGACCUACGGGUGAAAGCAGGGGAUCUUCGGACCUUGCGCGAUUGAAUGAGCCGAUGUCGGAUUAGCUAGUUGGCGGGGUAAAGGCCCACCAAGGCGACGAUCCGUAGCUGGUCUGAGAGGAUGAUCAGCCACACUGGAACUGAGACACGGUCCAGACUCCUACGGGAGGAAGCAGUGGGGAAUAUUGGACGAUGGGCGAAAGCCUGAUCCAGCCAUACCGCGUGGGUGAAGAAGGCCUUCGGGUUGUAAAGCCCUUUUGUUGGGAAAGAAAAGCAGCAGGUUAAUACCCCGCUGUUAUGACGGUACCCAAAGAAUAAGCACCGGCUAACUUCGUG